rnacentral:rRNA from 1 species
GAUGAACGCUGGCGGCGUGCCUAAUACAUGCAAGUCGAACGAAACUUCUUUAUCACCGAGUGCUUGCACUCACCGAUAAAGAGUUGAGUGGCGAACGGGUGAGUAACACGUGGGCAGCCUGCCCAAAAGAGGGGGAUGACACUAGGGAACAGGUGCUAAUACCGCAUAACCAUAGUUACCGCAUGGUAACUAUGUAAAAUGUGGCUAUAGUACCGCAGUUGGAUGGGCCGGCGGCGCAUUAGCUAGGUGGUAGGGUAAAGGCUUACCAAGGCAAUGAUGGGUUGCCGAAUUGAGUGGUUGAUCGGCCACAUUGGGACUGAGCCACGGCCCAAACUCCUACGGGAGGCAGCAGUAGGGAAUCUUCCGCAAUGGGCGAAAGCCUGAUGGAGCAACGCCGCGUGGGUGACGAAGGUCUUCGGAUCGUAAAACCCUGUUGUUAGAGAAGAAAGUGCGUGAGCGUAACUGUUCACGUUUCGACGGUAUCUAACCAGAAAGCCACGGCUAACUACGUG